rnacentral:rRNA from 1 species
AUUGAACGCUGGCGGCAGGCCUAACACAUGCAAGUCGAGCGGGGUUUUCGGACCUAGCGGCGGACGGGUGAGUAAUGCGUAGGAAGCUACCCGAUAGAGGGGGAUACCAGUUGGAAACGACUGUUAAUACCGCAUAAUGUCUACGGACCAAAGUGUGGGACCUUCGGGCCACAUGCUAUCGGAUGCGCCUACGUGGGAUUAGCUAGUUGGUGAGGUAAUGGCUCACCAAGGCGACGAUCCCUAGCUGGUUUGAGAGGAUGAUCAGCCACACUGGAACUGGUACACGGGCCAGACUCCUACGGGAGGCAGCAGUGGGGAAUAUUGGACAAUGGGCGCAGGCCUGAUCCGGCCAUGCCGCGUGUGUGAAGAAGGCCUUCGGGUUGUAAAGCACUUUCAGUAGGGAGGAAGCGUUGUGUGUUAAUAGUACACAGCGUUGACGUUACCUACAGAAGAAGCACCGGCUAACUCUGUGCCAGCCGCCGCCGUAACAC